rnacentral:lncRNA from 1 species
CCACAUCUUAAGAGGGUUUUGCCAUAACUUUUGACCAACUGUGUAAAUCUUCUCCUCAUUGGAUGUUUUACUUUUGAGUGGUGAUAAUUCAUUCUCAUCAGCCUUCUGAUUCUUCUAAUGUUUUACAGCUACCCACAUAUGUGGAAAAAGACACAAGGUACUUUAGUAGACUGAACUAUCCCUGAUGAGUUUCCCAGGUCACAUUCAAAGUAGCACAUUACUUUCACUAGCCAUAUCCUAGUUUCUCACACUGAAAUGUGAAUUGCAAAAAGUGAAAC